rnacentral:rRNA from 1 species
GAUGAACGCUGGCGGCGUGCCUAAUACAUGCAAGUCGAGCGAACGGACGAGAAGCUUGCUUCUCUGAUGUUAGCGGCGGACGGGGGAGUAACACGUGGAUAACCUACCUAUAAGACUGGGAUAACUUCGGGAAACCGGAGCUAAUACCGGAUAAUAUUUUGAACCGCAUGGUUCAAAAGUAAAAGACGGUCUUGCUGUCACUUAUAGAUGGAUCCGCGCUGCAUUAGCUAGUUGGUAAGGUAACGGCUUACCAAGGCAACGAUGCAUAGCCGACCUGAGAGGGUGAUCGGCCACACUGGAACUGAGACACGGUCCAGACUCCUACGGGAGGCAGCAGUAGGGAAUCUUCCGCAAUGGGCGAAAGCCUGACGGAGCAACGCCGCGUGAGUGAUGAAGGUCUUCGGAUCGUAAAACUCUGCUAUUAGGGAAGAACAUAUGUGUAAGUAACUGUGCACAUCUUGACGGUACCUAAUCAGAAAGCCACGGCUAACUACGUG